UAAUAAUUCGCUGGCGCAGUAUUCUAGUCAGUUUUCGCCGACCCGAAGGCGGGGGUAAAAUAUCGCCAAAGGGCAUAUCGAUGAAGUUUCUGGUGAUGGCUUUGGUUGCCCAAACCGGGGCUGUUGCUGGGAGUUAAGACUUUCGGGCGCUUCGCAACGGCAUGCGAAACUCGACCCGACUGUCGCGGAGACCCGUAUCGGUGGGCGCCGCGCCUACUGACCGGGGUUAAACCUGCUAUGCGGUGCUCAGGCGCUGUGUGCAGUGUAGCCUGCUUUGAGUGGAUCUUCAGGGACAGAGGAACCACGCCCCGACGCGUCCGGCCGACGCCGACGGGCGAUCGCCUCUCGAAAUGUUGUCUGCAAAAAAAGAUAAGGGCGGACGAAAACUGCCAAGGAAAUCUUCUAGACUGUUCUCACGAGGCAGCUUGGGGAUUAUAGUGUGCUCUAAGUGGCGAUUCGGUUGUGCAGCGGGAGACCCUGCAUCUUGCGGAGUAAUGGGAAACCCCUCGUACGGCGACGACGAGUUUCCGCAGGGGGAAAGCCUACCGAACCUGAUGGCGCAAGGUUUACUCAGGCUGUUGCCAGCGAA
rnacentral:sRNA from 1 species